GGGAGGUAGUGACAAUAAAUAACAAUACGGGGUUCUUUUGGAUCUCGUAAUUGGAAUGAGUACAAUUUAAAUCUCUUAACGAGAACCAAUUGGAGGGCAAGUCUGGUGCCAGCAGCCGCGGUAAUUCCAGCUCCAAUAGCGUAUAUUAAAGUUGUUGCAGUUAAAAAGCUCGUAGUUAAAUUUCGGGAUUAGUAGGUUGGUCGUGCCUCUGGUAUGUACUGGCUUUACUGGUUCCUCCUUCUUGAAGAACUGUAAUGUCAUUAAUUUGGUGUUGCAGGGAAACAGGACUGUUACUUUGAAAAAUUAGAGUGUUUAAGGCAGGCUAACGCUUGAAUACAUUAGCAUGGAAUAAUGAAAUAGGACGGUUGGUUUUAUUUUGUUGGUUUCUAGGAUCACCGUAAUGAUUAAUAGGGAUAGUUGGG
rnacentral:rRNA from 1 species